GACCUCAAAUCAGGUAGGACUACCCGCUGAACUUAAGCAUAUCAAUAAGCGGAGGAAAAGAAACUAACAAGGAUUCCCCUAGUAACUGCGAGUGAAGCGGGAAAAGCUCAAAUUUAAAAUCUGGCAGUCUUACUGUCCGAGUUGUAAUCUAGAGAAGCAUUAUCCGCGUUGGACCGUGUACAAGUCUCCUGGAAUGGAGCGUCAUAGAGGGUGAGAAUCCCGUCUUUGACACGGACUGCCAAGGCUUUUGUGAUGUGCUCUCAAAGAGUCGAGUUGUUUGGGAAUGCAGCUCAAAAUGGGUGGUAAAUUCCAUCUAAAGCUAAAUAUUGGCGAGAGACCGAUAGCGAACAAGUACCGUGAGGGAAAGAUGAAAAGAACUUUGGAAAGAGAGUUAAACAGUACGUGAAAUUGCUGAAAGGGAAACGCUUGAAGUCAGUCGCGUUGAUCAGAGAUCAACCUUGCUUUUGCUUGGUGUACUUUCUGGUUUGACGGGUCAGCAUCAAUUUUGAUCAUUGGAAAAAGGUCAAGGGAAUGUGGCAUCUUCGGAUGUGUUUAUAGCCCUUGGUUGUAUGCAAUGGUUGGGAUUGAGGAACUCAGCACGCCGCAAGGCCGGGUU
rnacentral:rRNA from 2 species